AAUCUCAAUAGCCCGAAAUGUUGCAUGCUUUAAAUUAUCCAAAUUGGUCAUUAAGAACACUUGAAAUUUUUCUGACCCAGAAUAUCCUCAUUACCCGCUCGGCCCAAUAAAACACCCCUACCAAACCUAUUAGUAUUCUUUUUUUAGACAAACCCACCUCCACCAUUAUUGGGCAUCAAAACCCUUCCAAUAGACUUAAGCCCAAAAUUUCCAAUCACCCAUUUACCAUUAACCCUAAUGUCCCUUCUCCUAAACCCAGCAUCCCCAUUAGCCGCCUCUAGAACUUUCCUUUCUAACAAAAAUGUUCAUUUCCUUCCUUCUAUCAUCAUUUCAUUCUUCAAUGAAAAAAUCGUCAGAUUCUCCUCCAUCACACCAGUUCCAGUCGAUUCACUCACCCUGUGAUUGUUGAUUCUUGUCACCUCCCCUUCAGCCUCCAACACGGAAAACUUAGAGCUCCUGAAACGGUUGUUACCACUAAUAGUUCUUCCUUCCGAUGGAUCAUGCGAUUUCCUCAUUUACUGUCGCUCAAUCAUCAUCUAAGGGCCAAAUGCCUCUUCCUCCACUUGAGACUGGAGACCUGAAUUAUCAACCCCGGAUUUGCCAGCAAUAGUUGCUUCCUCUACCACAAGCGAUUUGUUUUCAGUGCAUAACAACGAGAUCCACACUAACAGCCAAUCUCGCUAAUCUCCCUUUGACUGUCGCAUCAGUCCGAGCAUUGAUCCUAUAAACCGAUCCGAUCAUACUUCGGAUGGCCCUUAGCAAAAAAUCAGAGUAAUAUCAUUCAGACAACCCCAAUAAUCAGAUCCAAACUACCUAAGUUUUCAUAUCACUGUUGGUUGUCGAAAACUGGCUGCCCAGGUUCUCACCGACAAGUAAUGAUCAAACACCACCCAAGGGACACCUAACACCACCAUAUCGAAGUCAUCUUUCUCCUGGAACCGGACAAGGUAAAAGUAAUUUUACAGAUCCAUUAACUGAAAUCAGCCCCUAAUAUUCCAUAGAACAGAUCCAUUAACUAAAAUCAACCCUUAAUAUUCCAUAGAAUAGACACCUUGUUUAAUAAAGUGUUGAAAGCUAUUUUCCUACCCAGUAAUUUGAUCACAAUUGAUAGAGCCAUUUUCUUUUCAAUGAACUUAUGGACAUGGUCGAAAAUGUGAUAGAAGGAAUUCCAUUCACAGUUUCUGUCAUCACAUCUUUAUCCUGUAACUUGAAAUAUUCUUCCAUACCAACACUCCCAUUUGGAUUCGAUGAAUCUGCCAUCAACCUAACCUUAUACGAAUCCUUUGCUACGAUCUCCUCUUGCACGGUCUACUCGUUUCCAUCUAUUGUCGGGUCAGGCACCUCUAUAGUUAACUCCGGUUGUCAUCUGAUUUUCUUCGUAACCCUUUCGACACCACAAUUCGAAGCCGUGGGAUUCGCUUCCAUAGCAAAAUCAACUCGAGAGAGCAUUUCAAACAUGUUCUCUCUAAUUGUAAUACAACUAAACUGUUAAUAAAAAUUCAACCUUUUUUAUAGUUUUA